rnacentral:lncRNA from 1 species
ACAAGAUGGCACCUGCCGUCUGCCAGACCCUGUGCUGGAUACAGUAGUGAGCAGGCAGCAGUCAGAGCCCAUCCUCACGGAGCCAAGUGGGGAAGCCACGUGAGUCAGGAUGAUCCGAGAAGGCUUGUCUCGGGAGUUAACUGGAUCAAAGGCACUAACUGGAUGACUACAUUUGGAGAUAACAUGGGGGUCACAUUUCGGGCUUCCUGUGCAGGGGAGACUCGGGCCCUCCCAGCCCUGCCACCUCCCACCUUGCUGUCCUGUGUGGUCCUCGCCAGGUCACCAGGUCGGUGUGGGAAGUAGGGAGGGGAAGGGGGGACACGUGCAACCUGUGUUCGAGCGGGGAGGGGGUGGACCCUGAAGGGAAGCGGGCUGGUAC